rnacentral:rRNA from 1 species
AAGGAAUAUUGGUCAAUGGACGCAAGUCUGAACCAGCCAUGCCGCGCGAAGGAUGAAGGUCCUCUGGAUUGUAAACUUCUUUUAUCUGGGACGAAAACGGGAUUUUUAUCUCAAUUGACGGUACCAGAGGAAUAAGCACCGGCUAACUCCGUGCCAGCAGCCGCGGUAAUACGGAGGGUGCGAGCGUUAUCCGGAUUUACUGGGUUUAAAGGGUGCGUAGGUGGGCUUAUAAGUCAGUGGUGAAAUCUCCGAGCUUAACUUGGAAACUGCCGUUGAUACUAUAGGUCCUGAAUUAUCUGGAGGUAAGCGGAAUAUGUCAUGUAGCGGUGAAAUGCUUAGAUAUGACAUAGAACACCAAUUGCGAAGGCAGCUUACUACAUAUAAAUUGACGCUGAGGCACGAAAGCGUGGGGAUCAAACA